GAUGAACGCUGGCGGCGUGCCUAAUACAUGCAAGUCGAGCGAACGGUUCAGGAGCUUUCCCCUCCGACGGUUUAGGCGCGCGGGUGAGUGACACACGGAGGCACCCUCCCCAUAAGACGGAUAUCACAGUGAAAAAGGAACUAUAAUAGCAUAUAAACUUGAACCUCAUGGGUCAAUAGUGAAAGACGGUUAUGCUGCUACCUCUAGAUGGAUCCGCGCCGCAUUAGCUAGUUGGUGAGGUAACGGCCUACCAAGGCAACGAUGCGUAGCCGACCUGAGAGGGUGAUCGGCCACACUGGAACUGAGACACGGCCCAGACUCCUACGGGAGGCAGCAGUAGGGAAUCUUCCGCAAUGGGCGAAAGCCUGACGGAGCAACGCCGCGUGAGUGAGGAAGGUCUUCGGGUCGUAAAGCUCUGUUAUUAGGGAAGAACGAGUAGGUGAGUAACUGUGCUCGUCUUGACGGUACCUGAGAAGAAAGCCCCGGCUAACUACGUG
rnacentral:rRNA from 1 species